rnacentral:rRNA from 1 species
ACAUGCAGUCGAGCGGCAGCGACACAUUGACCUUCGAGGGAUUUGUUGGGCGGCGAGCGGCGGACGGGUGAGUAAUGCCUGGGAAAUUGCCCUGAUGUGGGGGAUAACCAUUGGAAACGAUGGCUAAUACCGCAUGAUAGCUUCGGCUCAAAGAGGGGGACCUUCGGGCCUCUCGCGUCAGGAUAUGCCCAGGUGGGAUUAGCUAGUUGGUGAGGUAAGGGCUCACCAAGGCGACGAUCCCUAGCUGGUCUGAGAGGAUGAUCAGCCACACUGGAACUGAGACACGGUCCAGACUCCUACGGGAGGCAGCAGUGGGGAAUAUUGCACAAUGGGCGCAAGCCUGAUGCAGCCAUGCCGCGUGUGUGAAGAAGGCCUUCGGGUUGUAAAGCACUUUCAGUCGUGAGGAAGGUGGUAGUGUUAAUAGCACUAUCAUUUGACGUUAGCGACAGAAGAAGCACCGGCUAACUCCGUGCCAGCAGCCGCGGUAAUACGGAGGGUGCGAGCGUUAAUCGGAAUUACUGGGCGUAAAGCGCAUGCAGGUGGUUUGUUAAGUUAGAUGUGAAAGCCCGGGGCUCAACCUCGGAACUGCAUUUGAAACUGGCAGGCUAGAGUACUGUAGAGGGGGGGUAGAAUUUCAGGUGUAGCGGUGAAAUGCGUAGAGAUCUGAAGGAAUACCGGGUGGCGAAGGCGGCCCCCUGGGACAGAUACUGACACUCAGAUGCGAAAGCGUGGGGGAGCAAACCAGGAUUAGAUACCCUGGUAGUCCCACGCCCGUAAACGAUGUCUACUUGGGAGGGUGUGGUCCUUGAGCCGUGGCUUUUCGAGCUAACGGCGUUUAAGGUAGACCGCCUGAGGA